CCUGGUAGCUUGGAUGGUAAAGUGUCUGCCUGCAAUGCAGGAGACCUGGGUUUGAUCCCUGGGUCAGGA
rnacentral:tRNA from 1 species